AGGAGGAAGAGAGUGGGAGACAAGAAUACGUAAUUGUUUUAUACGUUAUAUGAAAUUUUUAAAAAAUGAUAUGAGCUGGCUAAGAAGAAGAAGAAGAAGGUCAAAGAAUUAUGAUGUAACGAAAGGAGAUCGACCAGGGAGAUAUAUAUAAAGGGGCUUGAAGGAACAGAAACUUUAGGUUUGUGUUUGUUUGGAGACUAUUAAAUCUAAAUUCUACGCUUUGUCGCAAAGCAGUACAUAGAUAUUGUUGUACGUCCUAAGUUUUGAGUACCUCCUCUUCUAGAAUCUGUCUCUUUUGUUUGCUUAUUAUUCUCAUGUUCUUUUAUGGGCUUGGAUGGGCCCUUAUUAUAGUGUCAUAUUUAGAGAUCCACCCAACCACUGGUCGUACUUCUGUCAUUUAGCAUUUUCGUCGGUUUCGAAGCUUUAAUUAGUACUACUAUGUAGUCAAUUGCUUUUUGUUGAAUGA